GAACUCAGGUCUGACAUUUCCUAUGUUCUUGCCAGGAUCCCUCAGCUGAACAAUUGAACAGAGAAGAGGUGGGGGCUUCCAGUGACCCAGGGACUGUUUGGACCAGGCCACAGAUCUAAGAGACCUUCUCACACUGCAAACCUCUUUUCCUGUGUGCCACCGGGGAUGUGUACCUGGGGCUUGAGCCCCUGCCUGAGCUCUGGAUCAGAGAGAGCCUGCUCCUGCACCUUGUCUGAAAUGGAACAGGGGUGACAGAUGAGCAGAGGAUCAAUAGCCAUCUGUCCAGGCUCCACUGACAAGCUAAUCUUUUCAGUAAACAUUUCAUUAGCUCCUGCCAGUCUGCUGCACCUGCUGACAGGAGAGGCCAAACGGAGUAGGGGGAGGGGAACCUCCGCUUUAUGGUAGGGCUCCAAUGGCAGCAGGGGUCUCCUGGCCCCUGAGAGCUAGUUAAGCUCAGCUGGAAUACCCCUGCCACGCACUGGAGGAAUCCGGAUCAUCCCCAAGAUUUUUGUAUUUGAAGGGACUUUUAAAAUCAUUUAACCCAAGCUCUGUACUUUAAAAAGAGAGAGCGCAGUCCUCAAAAGUGACUUGCAGAAAAUCAAAGUAGCCACUUGCAGAGACAUCAGUGGAAAUCAGAC
rnacentral:lncRNA from 1 species